GGAGGCCUGUGAAAGUAUAUUACUAGUCAGAACGAGCAUCCUAGUGAUCAUGAUAUUAUGCUAGAUUUGAUGAAUGAAAGAUGAAUAAUAAUAAAUCAUCACCUAGAUUGUUAACAUCCUACCUCCAGCAAUUAAUAUGCAACAUGAAAAAUAUGAGAUUGCCAAGUAUGUUUGGGGAUUUUUUGGCUAGUCGAGAUAUUCAAACCAUUUUUUCUCAUAAAUAUAAACUUGAAAGAGAUAUUAGAACCAUCAAUCAAAAGAAAGGCAGCCUGUUUCUGAUUUUCCAUUUUGAGAUGCAACCAGUCUAGCUUAGUUUGCUCUUAUGGAGCCUAAGUGGAGUGUCAAUGCUCAUAUUUAUUAUAAGCAUCUUGGAGAAACUCAUCUUGUACAAUUUCUAAUGGCACUUCAAGAUGACUUUGAGUAUGGCACUUCUACUUCAUAUGUGAUGGAAGAAACUCAAAUUAGUAUUUUUUUUAUUAUUUUAUUUCAGGAAGAUUCUAUUCAUUCUACUAUAUUAAGAGUGUGUUUGGUUGGGGGGCAUUGGGGUCUGGAAUCGGAAUGGGAAUAUGCGACUCCCAUUCUAAUUAUUUGGUUAGGAGAAGUCCUAUUCCGAUUCCGAAGAGGAAUGAGAAUGAUCCAGUCUACCUAAAACUCAAUCUCUACUCUCUCUCUUAAGAAUUCAAACUUCUGUUUCGAUUCCGAUUUCGAUCCUGAACUAAACGCUUCAGAAGAUUUGAUGAUUCCCAUUCCAAUUUCAAUCCAUUCCGAUUCCCUCC
rnacentral:lncRNA from 1 species